rnacentral:rRNA from 1 species
GACGAACGCUGGCGGCGUGCUUAACACAUGCAAGUCGAACGCAGUGGCGAACGGGUGAGUAACGCGUAAUCAACCUGCCCUUCAGCGGGGGACAACAGUUGAAAACGACUGCUAAUACCGCAUACUGAAGGUGGGGAUUGCGUCUGAUUAGCUAGUUGGAGGGGGAACGGCCAACCAAGGCGAUGAUCAGUAGCCGGGCUGGGAGGGUGAACGGCCACAUUGGGAAUGGGAAAAGGCCCAGAACCCUACGGGAGGGAGCAGUGGGGAAUCUUCCGCAAAGGACGAAAGUCUGACGGAGCAACGCCGGGGGAGUGAUGAAGGCCUUCGGGUUGUAAAGCUCUGUUAAUCGGGACGCGGUACCUGAAUAGAAAGCCACGGCUAACUACGUGCCAGCAGCCGCGGUAAUUC